GGUUGACCUCGGAUCAGGUAGGGAUACCCGCUGAACUUAAGCAUAUCAAUAAGCGGA
rnacentral:rRNA from 6 species